UCCCUUGUGUCUCAGUAGGUAAAGAAUCUGCCUGCAACGCAGGAGACCUGAGUUCAAUCCUUGGGUUGGGAA
rnacentral:tRNA from 1 species